CUCUUUGACUAGUUCCUUGCAUCCUGUCAGAAAACCUGCUAUUUUUUUCCCAGUAGAAAAACAGGAUAAAAUCCACUAGGCCUAGCACAUGCUUUGUGCUAAGUUUUUAACAGAACCAGGUAACCAAGCACAGGUGCAUGGCUCUGCAGUACCUUGCAGGCCAGCAGGAGAUCUUGCCCACAGUGAAUUGCCCAAAAGGUGAGUUGGCUGGCGUGAGAGAUGGUUUAGCUUCCUGAUGGCCUGGAUGGGGACAGAGCAAGCUCAUGUCUUAAUUCAGCUGCCUUAUUCAGGCUUUACUAAUGCUCUGAAGGAGCUGAAAUACUAGGUUCCUGAUUUUGGUUUGGUGGUUGUCUUUUGUUUGUUUUUAGAGCUUAGCCAAGCUGACAUAAAUUGCUUUAACACUGUUCUUGUAUAUAAGUGUAUAUAUGUACAAUGUAAGCUAUAUGUAGGAAAAGGUAGAUCUAAAAGGAUAGAUCCUUCCCUUGCCAAGAUUGUAUUUUUAACCUUAGUAAAUUGAGCUUUCUGGAUCUCCACCUUGGCUGGAAGCACUAGACCUGCAGCAAUGCACCCUAUCUCAAGCCAGGCAGCUGAACCUUUCCCUUGUCCACAGGCUGGUCAAGGGAGCCUUCUUGGUCUCCGUUAACCCUGUAUGGGUCAGAGUGCUCAAGCUGCUGUCAUCUGCAGCAGAUGCUGUGCUGCAGGUGAAGGACAGAUGAGGUUUAUUGCUGGGUUCGUUUCCAUCUCCAAAAGAGCCAAAUGGCAAAAAGUUGAGUGGAAGGAUAGUGACUGAUGCCUUGGUGGGUAUGCCGGGGACAGGGAUGUUGACAGUGCCCUGAGUCACUGCAGACUGCAUCUAUCAGCUCAUAUAUAGAUGUCACUCAGCAACUUUUCAGAUGAGACCUCUUUGGAUCAUUUCAAUAAAAGAUUGGACUGUGAGUAGGUGCUUAAUCUCUGGGAACACAAUGUCAACCUCAGUUUUAGCAUAAAAAAUGCUAAAAGGAAAAUAGGAAAAAUGGAGAGCACCUCAGUUCUGCUCUCAUUCCUUCCCAUCUUCUCUGCUCUCAAAUUCAAAAGAAAAAAAUCUCCAUGAAGUUACCAAUAGCCCUCAAGUUCUUUUUUAGGUGAAUAGCUUCCCUGCCUCCCCAUGGCAGAGUUUGUGGUGUUUGUGGUGGUUUUUCUUUACACAAAUCUGUUCUUUUUCUUGCUCUAAUUGUAGUUUCCUGAAUUCUUUGUCACAGAAUUUUCAUUCAAAGGUUUCUAUGCCUUUUUCAAGCCAGCAAACCCUGGAAAUGCUCUGACAAUUCAGGCAAAGUUGCCCCUAUUUUACACAAUGCUCCAUGGAGACAGGCAAUGUAAUUGAAGUUAAACUAAGAGCUUAGUAACUUACAGCACAGAUCCUGAGACUUGUGAGUCCUAUUUACCACUUCUAAUAAAAAAACAAUCACCAAACUCUGUCUUUUCUAAGCAGUGCUGGUCCCUACAAAGUGUAUGCAUUCCUGGGCCAGUCUUCCAAGCACCACCUCAGGGGCUGGGGGUCCCCUGUUGGUUCCCUGACAUAACUGUUAGCCGCAGGCAAGGUCUCUUGCCUCAGCAUGAAUUUGCAGGGUAUGUUUCCUUCUCUGACAAGGGCUGAACUCUAGUGAAAUACCCCUGGGCCAGCUGGACUUAAGCAAACCUCUUUCUAGAGUUGCUCUGCAUUCCAUGGGUUUGUCUUAACUGCCUGGGAGGUGAGGACACGAGCUGACCUCUUUUGGAAAUGGAUGCCUCUCUCUCCAGCCCGCUGUCUUCAGCCAAAGUCCCCUGCUUUGUCCUUGGGUCUCUCCAACCUGAUGAUCUUCUCUGUCAUCUUCUACCUUUUCUAUGGUCUUAAGUGCGUCUCUCACUGUUACUAUUACAGUGAUGUGGCACUAAAGAGAGCACCAAAACUCAGAUCACUGGUUUACAAGAAGGAGCAUAGAGGAAAAGAAUGUUUUCUUUUCAAAGUAAUCUGGUUUUGACCUUCUGUAUCUGCCAGUGGAUGGAAACAAUGAGGAAAAAAUUUCUGGUCAGCCUCAACACUUGGUUUCAACUCUGAGCCUGUCAUUCGGUGGCAUUUCUGAAAUGUCUUAUAAAGAAAGAAGAUUUUUAAACUACAACUGGCUUCCAACUCCCCUAGAAUUUUUUUUUUCUUGAUUUUGAUACUAUAGAGCCUAAAAUGGCCUUGGAUACCUUGAUUAAUUUUCCUCUAAAGGAAAAAAAUACAACAGACCAAAAAAAGGGGACAGAGUCACAAAAGCCUUUGGCUGACCAAAACCAUCCCCUCCAGAAGAUGGAACAGCAAGAAAGAAAAUAUGUGUCCAGCUUUACAGGUGAUAUCAGUGCUCAGAGGGCUGAGCACUGCACUGUUUCCCUUCUGGUUUGUGCCAGUUUGGAAGCAAAAGAGCAGGCAGGAAAGGCAAGGGACCACUAAGGGACCUGACUGGGAUGAGAUGAGGAACUCACAGUCAAAUUCACAACUUGUUUUACUAAGGUGAGAAAUCAAUAUAGGCCUCCUCUCUGCUGCAGCCCACCUUCAAGGUAGGUGACAGGUUGCAGCACCUUCCACCUUGGUUUCUGCAAUGGAACCAAAGCCCAGUCUCACGGCUGAUGAGAAGACUGAGAGAAAGGCUAGUGUCCCUGCUGAAGGCCUUUCAAAAGGUUCUAAAAGAUGACCAGUGGAAAUUCUCCUUGUUGCCAUAUGAGCAGAUACUGAGAGCUGACACCUUCAACAGAGAGGAAAGAAAGCCUGAGGGUUUGUCUAAAUUUUUUUAACUGAAAACUUUGGAUUUACAGAAAAAUCCAUGUGGAAAUGUAGUUGACCCUUCCUACUGCAUCUUAUCUCCAAGAUCUCUGGCAUCCUGAGCCAGGAUUCCCUUGUGCUUCAGGAGCUGUGCAAGCCCGCAGGUAUCACUAGAUGGUGCCAACAGUCCGCCAGCUCCAGCACUGCUCUUCCAGCCUGGAGAAACACCAGGUUUGAGCUCCGGGAUGUAUACUGGACUACUUGGCUGAGGACGACAAGCCCGGUUUAUUUUUCCGAAGCUGAAAACAAGAAUCAACUGCAUUUUUUACAACGUUCCAAGUUAGUGAAUCGCUUCUAGGAAAAAAUAGUGCCAGAAAUGUGAUCACGUUUUCAAGCCACUGUAAAAUUUUACACAUGAAGAAAACCAGCAGUUCUUAGGGAGGGAAUAAUAGUUGCAGCAGAACAGAUAUACGACAUGUUUAUGUGAUACUGGACUGAUACUAACCUACUCUGUUACCCCGCUGUGAGAAGUCAGAAUAUGGUGCAGAACAUUUGUGGUGUGGAUUUCUGUGUGUCCCCAGAUACUCUGAAAGGGAAAUGUAUCUGCAACCAGAAGCAAACGCUUUCUCUGAACUGCCUUCUUCCAAGAGCUUCCAGGAAAACAGAGGCUGUCAAAGCUGUGAGCCAAAUGACAACUCAGUUAGUUCUGACCCAUUUGGUUUGCUUCCAGCUGAUGAGAAUUUGGUUGUCAAAAGAAAACCUUACUUAGGAAGAUCCAAGUAAACAAUCAAGUCUGAACAACUUUUUUUUUUCCUGUCGUUUUUUUCCCCCCCUUGUCCUAAGGGAUUUUUCAGCCUUUGAGCAUUUGUCUAUGACCUGAAGUAAGAUUUGAAAAUGUUGAAAACUGUUGAAAUAACAACUUUAUUGCAAUUUCUCCCACUGUGAACUUGAAAUAAUUACUGUAAAAAAUACAAUUUGCAUUUUUCUUGAA